UUGUGAGCAGGUCACGUUCAUUAAACGGGUUUCUCCGUGAAUGCUUUCACUGCGGCUCUCGGCAACGUGUUGGACUUUAGUGCUCCUCUGCUUGACGCGCGUGUGUGUGUCUGUGUGUUUCACUUAGUGGACUUAUACUUGCAUUGCGUUACCACUGGACCCCUCAGCGUAGAAAGGCCCAAGGGUGCUGCGCUGAUGUUUGACUGAGAUAAAGGCAGAAAGCACCUGGCACCGUCGCCUCGAGCUGCUCAGGAAUAAAAAGGGAAUUCCCACCACUUCCCGACGGCUGCUGCCGCACUCGUCUUCAGGACAUCAUCGAGAAGGCAAAGAAUUAACGGUUUUAUUUUGUAUUAAUUCAAUAUGACCGAACUAUUACGUCACCAUUCCUGUAUGUUUUGUGUUUUUAUUUUUAGGUGUUACACCGUGGAAGAGGAAGUAUUCUGAUCUUUGAAAAUAAUUAAAUGUACUCCAUUACAAAUAAAACUCAGCAGAAUACAUUUGUAAAAGACUUUGCAGAAUUUGCAGAAACAUCAACUGAAAUAGCAACCAUCAUAUUCAUGCCGGUUUAUAGACUGUAGAUAAAAAGUGGAGCUAGUUGUCGCUUAGAGAAGCGUCAUUUCUCAUAGAUUCUAAGGGAGCAGAGGCGUCGCCCCCUGCUGGUCACUACAGAGAAUGCAGCUUUAAGACAUGAAAUCUCCCUCUGACAUGAGGCAAAGUAGAAGCUUUAAAGCUGAGGUAGGUCAUUAUAUUAAGGUUAUUUAUUGUUUCAUUGUGUACUGGUUUGUGUCUUUAGCGCAGAUCAUUUAAAAAUACAGCAAACUCAUAGUUUCUCAACAUGACCAAUUUAAACUUUAAGGAUCACGAAAAGGAAAUAAGUUCAACCGCAAAGAGCCCGAAGAACUUGACCUGCUGAAGGAAAUAGAUGAAUCACUUUGGGGGAUUUUUUCUAGAUCUGUUUCCUCUCUUUUAUCCUGCUUAAAAAAUGGAAAGUUUGUAAUGAUUGAAAGGAUCUUCAACCCCUCCGCAAAAAAGCAGCGUUCAUAUUUGAAUAAAUGAGGUAAACAUUAACCUGAACAAUGAACCCGGGGGAACUUCCCCAGGGAGCCUCGUGAUGGACUUCUGCUCGUUGGCGUCAACUCACAAACUCGCUCCUGUGAGGGAAGGAGAGCGCAAUGACAGAGCGCAUGCUGCCCGGCCCUCGCCCGCCCUCGCCCUCCCUCGCCCACCCUCGCUCGCUGUUUGCCGUUUAUUGAGCGGGGCAGCUGUGUAAGCACGCUGCACAGCUUCUUUUUCUUCUCUUUAAAAAGUGAUUUUUUUCAGGCCGUCCGAGCUGUGAAAGCUGGGUCCUCUGCACAGCACACGUCUCCCUACUGACACGCAACAAACACGCCUGUGUGUGCUCUGUGUGCGUGUGUGAGACAAGGGGAGAGAGAGAGAGUGUCAGUAAGUGAAAGGUGAAAUUGAAGCUGUAACCCCCCCGGAGAAGAUUUAUUUGCUCUGCAGGUCAAGGCCUGUUUUUUGGGCCCUUUAAGGCUCGGCGUGUACACACAGGUCAAGAUGGAGGAGCGGCGCAGCCUGGCAAGCACGCACACACACACACACACACACACACACACACACACACACACACACACACACACACACACACAACCUUCCUGCCACAAUCCUUCCCCUUUCAGCCCAACCAACCCCCUACCAUCCCCUCUGUACCGGACUAUCUGCUACUGCUACGACGACAUUCCUUCAUUCACUGCAGCGUUUGGCCUUAAUGGCAGAUUUGCAUAACACACACACACACACACACUUGUCGGACGGGGAGCUUGAAGCAGGAGCCAGGAAGAAGAAACACUCAACACAUAAGUGGAGGUCGUGACCUCUGGGUCACAGCUGCAGACCCGUUGGUUUCAGUCGUGUUUCGAGUCACCUGAGGUCGUCGGUCCAAUAUUCAUUCUCUUUUUGCUCCGUUUCUGGUCUCCAUCAGCUCCUAUAAGGUGGUGAGACUGAUGUGAAACACUAAAGUUCUAUAUUUAAUGAAAAUAAAAAAGUUUCACUAUGAUUGUCCAGUUUCUCUUUACAAAUCUCUCUCUUA
ensembl:lncRNA